rnacentral:rRNA from 1 species
CACGUAGGGUGCGAGCGUUGUCCGGAAUUAUUGGGCGUAAAGAGCUCGUAGGCGGUGUGUCGCGUCGGCCGUGAAAACCUGCAGCUUAACUGUGGGCUUGCGGUCGAUACGGGCAUCACUGGAGUUCGGCAGGGGAGACUGGAAUUCCUGGUGUAGCGGUGAAAUGCGCAGAUAUCAGGAGGGAACACCGGUGGGCGAAGGCGGGUCUCUGG